ACCUGCCGGAGAAGCUCCCGCCGCCCCGCCUGUGCUGGACCUUGCCGUCCUCUGCCACGAGCAGGGCCGGCUACGGUGGCUGCCGGAAUUGGUUCUCGGUAUUGACAUAGGCGCAGUGAACUCAAGCCCGGAAUUCCGGACCAAUCUGGCAAGGCUUGUCCGGCGCUUACAAGGUCAUGUGCAUCCGGACCGGCACACGGGCGACGAAUUCUUGUCGAGAGCACUGGGAGGGAAGACUCCUCCCUCCAGCUACAGCUCUGCGAGUGGCCCGCCGUCGCCGCAGCCAUUCUGAUUCGACCCGGAGCUCCUAACCCGGGAGGAGUUGAUCCGCGAGUGGCGGCGCUAUGCGCUGGCCGUAUCGGAGGCGGCCGCCCGGUGGGCCCUCUAUUUCGGCCCCCACCUGGCCGGUCUCGACCCACUGGGAGUCGUAGGCUUCCAUUGGAUGGUCGGCCUGGGGGCCGACAUCGUGAGGGCCCCGGCCGAGGGAUCGUUAGUCUCGCCUUUGGUGAGGCUGGUGCGACCGCCGGUGCCGUACCAGACGGGCGCCCCGCCCCGAUGGUAGCGCGGCUGCGAAGUGUGCGCGUUCUUUGUGAGUGCUAGUGUUCCUUGUUUUCAAUAAACCCGCGCAAUGUGUCUUGUCGAUUUUGGAGGGUCCAUCUGGCAGGGCUCAACGGAAGAGUGACUUGAGGAGGUUUCUGAGAGAAACUGCGGCAUAUUAAGCUUCUGACUCAACGCACUCGGGUAUAUAGGGCCUUGCGCACUCGAACAACUCGAUUUAUACCUUAGAUAUCUGCUCGUCCCCCAGCCUGACGGUUUUGGUGCUCGGCACGCACUGACUCAUUUCUUUCCUAUCUUGGUACGAAAUAUCGGAGAACCUAACAAACCACCGCGCGGUACAACACUUGGGCCGAAG